rnacentral:pre_miRNA from 1 species
GAGACACCCCUAUGGAGCAGGACUUGCUUCAGUGGGGCUUUGGUACUCACUGAGUCUGCCCCUUAGGUGUGUUGCU